CCUACGGGGGACAGCAGUCGAGAAUCAUUCACAAUGGGGGAAACCCUGAUGGUGCGACGCCGCGUGGGGGAAUGAAGGUCUUCGGAUUGUAAACCCCUGUCAUGUGGGAGCAAAUUAAAAAGAUAGUACCACACGAGGAAGAGACGGCUAACUCUGUGCCAGCAGCCGCGGUAAUACAGAGGUCUCAAGCGUUGUUCGGAAUCACUGGGCGUAAAGCGUGCGUAGGCUGUUUCGUAAGUCGUGUGUGAAAGGCGCGGGCUCAACCCGCGGACGGCACAUGAUACUGCGAGACUAGAGUAAUGGAGGGGGAACCGGAAUUCUCGGUGUAGCAGUGAAAUGCGUAGAUAUCGAGAGGAACACUCGUGGCGAAGGCGGGUUCCUGGACAUUAACUGACGCUGAGGCACGAAGGCCAGGGGAGCGAAAGGGAUUAGAUACCCUAGUAGUC
rnacentral:rRNA from 1 species